UACGAAGGGGACUAGCGUUGUUCGGAAUUACUGGGCGUAAAGCGCACGUAGGCGGAUUUGUAAGUCAGGGGUGAAAUCCCGGGGCUCAACCUCGGAACUGCCUUUGAUACUGCAAAUCUCGAGUCCGAUAGAGGUGGGUGGAAUUCCUAGUGUAGAGGUGAAAUUCGUAGAUAUUAGGAAGAACACCGGUGGCGAAGGCGGCCCACUGGAUCGGUACUGACGCUGAGGCUCGAAAGCGUGGGGAGCAAACAG
rnacentral:rRNA from 1 species